AGCCAUGCAUUGAGCACAGAGCGAACUAUUCUUUUGCCUUUUACUAAAGUAUACCGUGUGUGCGGCAUUUUAAGUGGCAUAUGCCUAUUUUUGGAAGGGUCCACCUCUGCAGGUACC